UUGAGAGUUUGAUCCUGGCUCAGAACGAACGCUGGCGGCAUGCCUAACACAUGCAAGUCGAACGAGAAGCUUCUUCGGAAGUGGACAGUGGCAGACGGGUGAGUAACGCGUGGGGAUCUGCCCAGAGGUUCGGAACAACCAUUGGAAACGAUGGCUAAUACCGGAUAAGCCCGCAAGGGGAAAGAUUUAUCGCCUUUGGAUGAACCCGCGUAAGAUUAGCUAGUUGGUGAGGUAAUGGCUCACCAAGGCGACGAUCUUUAGCUGGUCUGAGAGGAUGAUCAGCCACAUUGGGACUGAGACACGGCCCAGACUCCUACGGGAGGCAGCAGUGGGGAAUCUUAGACAAUGGGGGCAACCCUGAUCUAGCCAUGCCGCGUGAGUGACGAAGGCCCUAGGGUCGUAAAGCUCUUUCGCCAGAGAUGAUAAUGACAGUAUCUGGUAAAGAAACCCCGGCUAACUCCGUGCCAGCAGCCGCGGUAAUACG
rnacentral:rRNA from 1 species